rnacentral:rRNA from 1 species
UACGUAGGGUGCGAGCGUUGUCCGGAAUUAUUGGGCGUAAAGAGCUUGUAGGCGGUUUGUCGCGUCUGCUGUGAAAAUCUCGAGCUCCACUGAGCUUGCAGUGGGUACGGGCAGACUAGAGUGUGGUAGGGGGAGACUGGAAUUCCUGGUGUAGCGGUGAAAUGCGCAGAUAUCAGGAGGAACACCGGUGGCGAAGGCGGGUCUCUGGGCCGUAACUGACGCUGGAGGAGCGAA